AUUGAACGCUGGCGGCAUGCCUUACACAUGCAAGUCGAACGGCAGCGCGGAGCUUGCUCUGGUGGCGAGUGGCGAACGGGUGAGUAAUAUAUCGGAACGUACCCAAGAGUGGGGGAUAACGUAGCGAAAGUUACGCUAAUACCGCAUACGAUCUAAGGAUGAAAGCAGGGGACCGCAAGGCCUUGUGCUCCUGGAGCGGCCGAUAUCUGGUUAGCUAGUUGGGGGGGUAAAGGCGCACCAAGGCAUCGACCAGUAGCUGGUCUGAGAGGACGACCAGCCACACUGGAACUGAGACACGGUCCAGACUCCUACGGGAGGCAGCAGUGGGGAAUUUUGGACAAUGGGGGCAACCCUGAUCCAGCAAUGCCGCGUGAGUGAAGAAGGCCUUCGGGUUGUAAAGCUCUUUUGUCAGGGAAGAAACGGUCGUGGCUAAUAUCCAUGGCUAAUGACGGUACCUGAAGAAUAAGCACCGGCUAACUACGUGCCAGCCGCCGCCGUAAUAC
rnacentral:rRNA from 1 species